CUGUUCGGGCGAAAAAGAAGAAACAGAGAGAGAGAGAGAGAGAGAGAGAGGGGAGGGAGGGAGGAAGGGAGAGAACGAUCUUGAGAGAAAGAGAGAGCGAGAGAGAGAAGGAGAGCUCGAGAUGAAGGUCGAGGGAAGUUUAGCUUGAAAUGGAUUAUGGACAAUAGCAGAGAUGAAGAGUGAAUGAGCAAUAGCCAGAGCCCGAGCUUGAGCUCGAUGAAGAGAUAGAGAAAUGAAAGAACCAAGGAUGGGAAAGUAGCAGUUGGGCGGUGGAUGAACGGAAUAGAGAGGGGAACGAGGUAGAGAAGAUUGAGGGUAGAUUGAGAUACGGAAAUUGGAGAACACCACAAGGAAGGCCUUGACAUGGUGAUCCGUUAUUGAUGGGUUUUGGAUAAACUACUAGCUGCGCAGGAAAACCAUUUUUGAUAUCCUGGAUAAGUUCGGAGGACUAUGUAGAGAGCUUUGGCCAUCUUAUAGGUGUUUUUUUUAAUAGAAUGUGUCUACAUGGUUACAGCAUGGAGUAAUUCUUUUAGCUAUUUGUAAAUUGUCAUGAGGAAUAUAUUAGAAAUUCUUUUGGGAAGGAAUUAUUUUGUUAAUGUAUUUUAGAGUAGGUUGGCUUGAUUAGUUGAUGAAUUGUUUGAUUAUAUAUGUGUUUUUGUUUAUGUUAAAGGAUUGGCAUUUUCUUGAGCUUGGAGCAUAUGAAUAUAUUAGUAGGUUAUAGUU